AAAUAAAAGCCGAGACAAGCAAAGCUUCGGGCUUCAUCUAUUAUGGAAGGCCAACUGUGGAACGCGCCACCUGUUCCCGUAAUGAAGAAGCUAUUCGUUCAAUGGCACAACAACAAUCAAAACAAGAACAGUGAACGUCACAGCAGCAGUGGCAGCUCGCAGUCCAAAGACUUGUUGGGUUUAAAGAGGCAAGAAAUCGUUAUCCACCUGCUAAUCAAACGACGAGUACCGCUACACCACUCGACCGCCGCCUACCCAUCUAAUUAUCGCUAGUUCCCGCCGUCGUGCAUUUCAUCGAGGAGCAAAGGCAAAAGACAGGCCACACGUCAUGUCGUAGUACUGUUUGAAUCGACGCUGGCCCUGCUGAUAGAUGACUAAAUAUACAGUCCAUUAUGUGUCAAAAACCGACUGUUCGUUGGGCCGUCAGUUUUAUUUGUAACACAACGAAAUUCGCCGGACGACUCGGGCGGACAGAAGAAGAGAAAUGGAUGGCGAGAAGCUCUGUAUAUCGCAGAUGAUUCUCAAAUAGAGAAAAAUGGAAUUUAAGUUAAAAAAUAAAAUAAAAAGGA